rnacentral:rRNA from 1 species
GGCUCAGUAACACGUCGAUAAUCUGCCCUAAGAUUGAGGAUACCCACGGAAAACUGUGGUUAAUACUUGAUGUUGAAUGGAUUCUGGAAUGAGCCAUUCAUUAAACGUAAGGUCUUAGGAUGAGUCGGCGGCAGAUUAGGCAGUUGGCGGUGUAACGGACCACCAAACCAAAGAUCUGUAGGGGCCCUGAGAGGGGUAGCCCCGAGAGGGACACUGAAAUACUGGUCCCAGCUCCACGGAGUGCAGCAGGCGCGAAACCUCCACAAUGCGCGAAAGCGUGAUGGGGGGAUCCCGAGUGCUUACACUUUAGGUGUAAGCUUUUGCCAAGAGUUCACAUCUUGGGGAAUAAGUGGUGGGUAAGACCGGUGCCAGCAGCCGCGGUAACCCCGGCGCCACGAGUGGCAAUCUUAUAUUGGGCCUAAAGCAUUCGUAGCCGGAUUAAAAAAUCUCUUGUGAAAUUGUCGAACUCAAUACGACAGCGUGCAGGAGACACUUUUAGUCUAGAGAUUGGGAGGAGUUGGGGGUAUGCCUUGGGGAGCGGUUAAAUGUGAUAAUCCAAGGUAGACCACCUGUGGCGAAGGCGCCCAACUAGAACAAUUCUGACGGUGAGGGAUGAAAGCUAGGGGAGCGAUCCGGAUUAGAUACCCGAGUAGUCCUAGCUGUAAACACUGCGAGCUAGGUGUCGCAUAUUCUACGAGA